AGAUCAACACCUAUGCAUCUUGAUGACAAAAAAGUUAAAAGUAAGCUCAUAGGUAACGUUAAAAUAGUUGAAGUUUGAGAAAGUUCGAAUCGAUGAGAAAUAAAAAUGAAAAAGAACUAAAGAGGGAAGAAAGCAGCCAUCUGCUUUUCCUAAACCCCACACCAAAAGAACAUCUGGCACCGACACACAGAGAUGAUACCGGUCCAGAUUAUAUCUUUUCUUACUUCCAAUUAACAUUGACUAUAGCAACUAAAGUAAAACAGAAAAUUUCUUUGAAACCAUUUUCUAGAGAAACAAAAAGAAUCCUAAACAUGAAUUUCCGAUUACUUUAGUGAACACUCACUUGUUGUUAAG
rnacentral:misc_RNA from 1 species